rnacentral:tRNA from 1 species
AGCAGUGUGGCUCAGUGGAAAGAGCGUGGUCUUGGGAGUCAGAGGUCAUGGGUUCUAAUCCCAGCUCUGCCG